GAUGAAGAACGUAGUGAAAUGCGAUAAGUAAUGCGAAUUGCAGAUUUCAGUGAGUCAUCGAAUCUUUGAACGCACAUUGCGCCCGCUGGUAUUCCGGCGGGCAUGCCUGUUCGAGCGUCAUUUCAACCCUCAAGCCCCCGGGUUUGGUGUUGGGGAUCGGCUCUGCCCUUCUGGGCGGUGCCGCCCCCGAAAUACAUUGGCGGUCUCGCUGCAGCCUCCAUUGCGUAGUAGCUAACACCUCGCAACUGGAACGCGGCGCGGCCAUGCCGUAAAACCCCAACUUCUGAAUGUUGACCUCGGAUCAGGUAGGAAUACCCGCUGAACUUAAGCAUAUCAAUAAGCGGAGGA
rnacentral:misc_RNA from 1 species